AUGAUCAAAGAGAUAAGGAAGCAAAGUGGCGUUUCAUGGGACGACUGGCAGUGCAAGAUUCUAGCGGAUCCACCACUUUUGAAAAACAUCAUCAUAUCACACCCUAAAGCGGGAAAGUUCAAGACAAAAGCCUUCCCUCUUUUCGAAGCUUUGGGAGAAUUGCAUGAUGGCCAAACUGCAGAAGGGACAUAUAACUUCACCUCUAUCGAGUCAUCACAUUGCUCAACCCAAUCACAUCUCGAGAAUCUUGGAGGAGCUGGCAAGAAUAAAGGAGAAACAUCAGCUGAUGGUGAGAAUCUUGGAGGAGAAAGGGUGCAGAUUGAUGAAGAUGUUGAGGAGAAAUGCAGAAGAGAAAGAACCAAAGAGAAGGAGGGGGCGAAUGGUGAUGUGGCUGAAAUGAUGGAGAAGUACUUGGAAAUAAGGACGAAGCAGGUGGAGGAUGAGAGGAAUAAGCCAAGGGUCGUGGAUGAGUACUCUAUCAAAAACUGCAUUGAUCUGCUGAAACAAAUGGACAUCACACCUGAAGAAGAAGUCAAGGCUUUCCGAGUCUUCAAGAUCCUCGAGAACUGA
rnacentral:rRNA from 1 species